UUUGAUCCUGGCUCAGAUUGAACGCUGGCGGCAGGCCUAACACAUGCAAGUCGAGCGGCAGCACGGGAAGCUUGCUUCCUGGUGGCGAGCGGCGGACGGGUGAGUAAUGCAUAGGAAUCUGCCCGGUAGUGGGGGAUAACCUGGGGAAACCCAGGCUAAUACCGCAUACGCCCUACGGGGGAAAGCAGGGGCUCUUCGGACCUUGCGCUAUCGGAUGAGCCUAUGUCGGAUUAGCUGGUUGGUGAGGUAAUGGCUCACCAAGGCGACGAUCCGUAGCUGGUCUGAGAGGAUGAUCAGCCACAUCGGGACUGAGACACGGCCCGAACUCCUACGGGAGGCAGCAGUGGGGAAUAUUGGACAAUGGGCGCAAGCCUGAUCCAGCCAUGCCGCGUGUGUGAAGAAGGCCCUCGGGUUGUAAAGCACUUUCAGUGGGGAAGAACGCCUUCCGGUUAAUACCCGGGAGGAAAGACAUCACCCACAGAAGAAGCACCGGCUAACUCCGUGCCAGCAGCCGCGGUAAUACGGAGGGUGCGAGCGUUAAUCGGAAUUACUGGGCGUAAAGCGCGCGUAGGUGGCUUGAUAAGCCGGUUGUGAAAGCCCCGGGCUCAACCUGGGAACGGCAUCCGGAACUGUCAGGCUAGAGUGCAGGAGAGGAAGGUAGAAUUCCCGGUGUAGCGGUGAAAUGCGUAGAGAUCGGGAGGAAUACCAGUGGCGAAGGCGGCCUUCUGGACUGACACUGACACUGAGGUGCGAAAGCGUGGGUAGCAAACAGGAUUAGAUACCCUGGUAGUCCACGCCGUAAACGAUGUCGACUAGCCGUUGGGUCCUUCGCGGACUUUGUGGCGCAGUUAACGCGAUAAGUCGACCGCCUGGGGAGUACG
rnacentral:rRNA from 1 species